rnacentral:rRNA from 1 species
AUUGAACGCUGGCGGCAGGCCUAACACAUGCAAGUCGAGCGGAGCGGCGGACGGGUGAGUAAUGCCUAGGAAUCUGCCUGGUAGUGGGGGAUAACGUCCGGAAACGGGCGCUAAUACCGCAUACUAUCAGAUGAGUCUAGGUCGGAUUAGCUAGUUGGUGGGGUAAAGGCCUACCAAGGCGACGAUCCGUAACUGGUCUGAGAGGAUGAUCAGUCACACUGGAACUGAGACACGGUCCAGACGCCUACGGGAGGCAGCAGUGGGGAAGAGUGGACAGUGGGCGAAAGCCUGAUCCAGCCAGGCCGCGUGUGUGAAGAAGGUCUUCGGAUUGUAAAGCACUUUUAGUGGGUGGGCGUUACCAACAGAAUAAGCACCGGCUAACUACGUGCCAGCAGCCGCGGUAAUUC